CCUACGGGGUGCAGCAGUGAGGAAUAUUGGUCAAUGGCCGGAAGGCUGAACCAGCCAUGCCGCGUGAAGGUCAGUGCCCUAUGGGCGUUAAACUUCUUUUGUGCGGGAGCAAUAAUGGUCACGUGUGGCCAGACGAGAGUACCGUACGAAUAAGCAUCGGCUAACUCCGUGCCAGCAGCCGCGGUAAUACGGGGGAUGCAAGCGUUAUCCGGAUUUAUUGGGUUUAAAGGGUGCGUAGGCUGGGAGGUAAGUGAGCGGUGAAAUGCCCCCGCUCAACGGGGUGAAGUGCCAUUGAUACUGCCUUGCUGGAAUGCGGAUGCCGUGGGAGGAAUGUGUGGUGUAGCGGUGAAAUGCAUAGAUAUCACACAGAACACCGAUUGCGAAGGCAGCUCACGAAUCCGCGAUUGACGCUGAUGCACGAAAGCAUGGGUAUCAAACAGGAUUAGAUACCCUAGUAGUC
rnacentral:rRNA from 1 species